GAAAGUAUAACUCAGUGUCAGAGCAUUUGACUGCAGAUCAAGAAGUCCCUGGUUCACUUCCUAGUGCCCCCU
rnacentral:tRNA from 1 species